rnacentral:rRNA from 1 species
UACGUAGGGUGCAAGCGUUAAUCGGAAUUACUGGGCGUAAAGCGUGCGCAGGCGGUUUUGCAAGACAGAUGUGAAAUCCCCGGGCUCAACCUGGGAACUGCAUUUGUGACUGCAAGGCUGGAGUGCGGCAGAGGGGGAUGGAAUUCCGCGUGUAGCAGUGAAAUGCGUAGAUAUGCGGAGGAACAUUGAUGGCGAAGGCAGUCCCCUGGGCCUGCACUGACGCUCAUGCACGAAAGCGUGGGGAGCAAACAGG